ACGUAGGGGGCGAGCGUUGUCCGGAUUUAUUGGGCGUAAAGAGCUCGUAGGCGGCUUAGUAAGUCGGGUGUGAAACCUCCAGGCUCAACCUGGAGACGCCACCCGAUACUGCUAUAGCUAGAGUCCGGUAGGGGAGCGUGGAAUUCCUGGUGUAGCGGUGAAAUGCGCAGAUAUCAGGAGGAACACCAGCGGCGAAGGCGGCGCUCUGGGCCGGAACUGACGCUGAGGAGCGAAAGCGUGGGGAGCAAACAGGA
rnacentral:rRNA from 1 species